UAGGCAGAAGCAAAUCAAGGGCAGGUCUGCUACUUAUAAAAUACCUAAUUCUAGUAGUGUGCUACAUGAGAAAGAAGUCUUUUGCUAACACCACAAGAGUCUCUGGUCCAAUAAGUGGACCAGAAUUGAUAGUAAUUCAUGCUACAAGU
rnacentral:snoRNA from 1 species